GGAAAGUUGCCUGAGAGGUAAAGGCCCGGCUUCGAAAGCCGAGAGGGUGCUUCACCGCGCCGCCCAGGUUCGAUCCCUGGACUUUCCGCCA
rnacentral:tRNA from 2 species